rnacentral:rRNA from 1 species
GACGAACGCUGGCGGCGUGCCUAAUACAUGCAAGUAGAACGCACAGUUUAUACCGUAGCUUGCUACACCAUAGACUGUGAGUUGCGAACGGGGUAGUAACGCGUAGGUAACCUUCCUGGUAGCGGGGGAUAACUAUGGGAAACGAUAGCUAAUACCGCAUAAUAUUAAUUAUUGCAUGAUAAUUAAUUGAAAGGUGCAAUUGCAGCACUACCAGAUGGACCUGCGGUGGAUUAGCUAGUAGGUGAGGUAACGGCUCACCUAGGCGACGAUACAUAGCCGACCUGAGAGGGGGAAAGGGCACAUUGGGACUGAGGGAAGGCCCAGACGCCGACUGGAGGCAGCAGUGGGGAAUAUGGCACAAUGGGCGGAAGCCGGAGGCAGCAACGCCGCGGGCGGGAAGACGGCCUGCGGGUUGUAAAACGCGUUCGCCUGAGACGAAGCGUGAGUGACGGUAAUGAAUAAAGAAGCACCGGCUAACUACGUG